GUGAACGCUGGCGGUAGGCCUAACACAUGCAAGUCGAACGGCAGCACAGUAAGAGCUUGCUCUUACGGGUGGCGAGUGGCGGACGGGUGAGGAAUACAUCGGAAUCUACUUUUUCGUGGGGGAUCACGUAGGGAAACUUACGCUAAUACCGCAUACGACCUACGGGUGAAAGCAGGGGAUCUUCGGACCUUGCGCGAUUGAAUGAGCCGAUGUCGGAUUAGCUAGUUGACGGGGUAAAGGCCCACCAAGGCGACGAUCCGUAGCUGGUCUGAGAGGAUGAUCAGCCACACUGGAACUGAGACACGGUCCAGACUCCUACGGGAGGCAGCAGUGGGGAAUAUUGGACAAUGGGCGCAAGCCUGAUCCAGCCAUACCGCGUGGGUGAAGAAGGCCUUCGGGUUGUAAAGCCCUUUUGUUGGGAAAGAAAAGCAGCAGGUUAAUACCCCGCUGUUCUGACGGUACCCAAAGAAUAAGCACCGGCUAACUUCGUG
rnacentral:rRNA from 1 species